rnacentral:lncRNA from 1 species
CAGGCAACUAGAGCUUUCUGAAGAAAUAGUGGGGCUUCUAUUGAUCUUCCAUUGGUUCUUGUGCCUUGUAUCAAGUUUAAAUAUUUAAUCAUCACAGUUUUGAAUAAUAUAUAUACAUAGAUUCAAGAUUUCAAAGCCAAAAGUUACAUUCUCCUUUUAACAAUUUUAUAUGUAACAAAAUAAUAAUAACAAUAAUUAAUUAAAGAGAGAACUCAUAUUAGGAAAUUAUGACUCAAAUGGCAAUCCAAAAUACACUGAAAAGAUUCAAAUCUCAUCACACUAAAACCAAAAUACCCAACAGCAAAACAGAAGCAGAUCCCAUUCUAUCAUAAUUCAUAAAGAGAAAAACUACAGAUUGAAGCCAUAGGGACCGACAAAAACACGAUUCCCCAGCGUAUUAUAAUAAUAAUAAUAAGUAAUUAUAACUAACCCAUUUCGGCUUGUUGAGAUCUUUUCUCGCAUCGUUGCGUCAGGAAGUGAAGUAGAAGACUGGGUGGAGGAAGAGGUGGAGAAGCUUGAAGCAGGCGCAUGAGAAAGAAAGGAACACCACACCGUAUACGAUCCUCAGAGCCAUUGGGAGAUUUCCUUUUCCUGACGUAGACGAUAGGGUUUUUAAAGAGAGGGAUUUGGAUUUUGGAUCUGGAAUUUUAAAGCGCAAGAGGAUAAUGUUUUCUUUUUCCUUUUCGGGAAUUUGAAAUAUUUGAUUUUUUUAAAAAAAUUGUAAAUUGUGAAUCACACGUGUCUUGAAAGCGGGUGUCGUGGCAAGAGGCUUGUCGGAGUCUUGUAUGGUUUGUGUAGGAAAAAAGCAAGUCUACAAUUUUUUAAUUUUCAUGCUUUCAGAAAGAUAAAGAAAACUUUGACAUAAUCGGCUCGAGGGAUUCAGACCACGUAGAAGGAAAAGAUCCAACCCCC